UGAAGUUUCAUUAAAUUCUGUUAAGGGGAUAAGGAGAGAUGGUGCGCACAAGAUUGCGUCUACGGACAGACGGCCAGACGGACAGACAACCUGAAACCAGUAUACCCCCCCUUACAACUUUGUUGUCGGGGGGUACAAUAAUUUAAAUUAACAAGAGGGCCAAAAUGGCCCUAGGUCGCUCACCUGAGAAACACACCAUAACAGUGUAAACAUGUUUGACCUAGUGAUUUAAUGGAAAAAAAUAUUCUGACCAAUUAUCAUUAAAAUUGGAAAAAAGAGAGUAUAAACAAGUAUUGUGACCUAGUUUUUGACCCCAGAUGACCCAUAUUCAAAAUUGACCUUGAUUUCAUCACGGCUAUCAUUCUGACCAAAUUUCAUGAAGAUCAAUUGAAAAAUACAGCCUCUAUCGCAUACACAAGGUUUUUCUUUGAUUUGACCUAGUGACCUAGCUUUUGACCCCAGACAACCCAUAUUCGAACUUGACCUAGAUUUCAUCAAGGCAAAUAUUCUGACUAAAUUUUUAUGAAAAUCCAGUGUAAAAUGCAGCCCCUAUUGCAUACACAAGGUUUUUCUUUGAUUUGACCUAGUGACCUAGAUUUUGACCCCAGAUGACCAAUAUUCGAACUCGGCCUACACUUAUUAAUAUGAAAUAAGGCAAUGCCUCAAAGCGAGCUCAAAGAAAUCGGAUUUAGCUAAAAAUAUUAUGCAUCAUUUAUUUGUCACAAAGAAGCUAUUCCCUACUCACAAGAAUUCAGGAGAACCUAUUCACUUGAAAAAGUCUACAUUUAGUGUCACCAUACCUGUAACAGUGAAUAUCAUACGUUGCAAAAAUUAUGGGAAGCCGGUGUCACGGUGACGUCAUUACCGCGUUCCCGUUUCUUUCUGCUUAUUAAUGACAUUUUUUUCCAUUUUCUGGCCGAUGCUUCAUCUUUUAAAUGAAAAUAAAAAAUUUUUUCAAACAACUGGAAAGCAUUCUUUCAUUAUUGUUGAGUGAUGAAUAUUUUUUAGCAAUUGAAUCUGUAUUCACUCCGGAAAGAAGUACUUCCUGUGAGCACCUAUCCGUUAGGGUGCGCUUUUUAAGAACUUCCGACGAAACUUUUCAAAUCCAUCACCAAGUGUGGAAGUAUACUUGCGUUACCGUAAAGCUCGAUUCUCGAGCAGGCCCUUUGGGCCUGCUCUUCGAGCUCGCUAUCAAGGCAAUCAUUCUGAUCAAACUGUAAUUACUAUGAAGAUCAACUAAAAAAUACAGCCUCUAUUGCAUACACAAGCUAAAUGUUGACAGACGAGAGACAAACAGACAGACGACAGACAGACGAUGGAAGCCGGACAUCCAGCGAUCACAAAAACUCACCUGAGCAUAUUAUGUCAAAAUUAAAUGCAAAAUGGUCAUUAUCGCAACCCAAUAUUUUAAACCUGUAUAAGAUGAAAGACAAUAAAUACACAAAACCAACAUCUUUGCUGUCAUAUUUUGAAUAAAAUUCUAGUUUUUUAAUGAAUUUCCAGUUAAACAAAGAAGGAAAUCAAGCUCUGUAUAUUCUGCGAUAAACAACAGUUGGUGCAUGGACCGGUAAGACAGCAUUAUGACGUCAAACUGCCACAUGACGUUUGAUACAUUACUCCUUGGUUAUCAUGGCUCAACAAAUGUUAGAGGCAGCUGACAGACCUUUAUGGCCGGAACAAGGGAUGGAAUGCCCUGUACCCCACUGCUCAGCAGGGAAAUUUUUCAGUCGUUAUGACAGAUUCAGUGAACAUUGGCAAGGGUACAUCUGCCAGUAGUAAACAUUUUCAAAUGUAUGAAAUGUUCCACUGUAGUCUUCAGGGGUAAUGAGGCUCGGCAGCACAGUAAACGCAACGGGUCACAACACUUGUGCGAGGCGUCUAGGAUUGCAAAUCCGAAAUAUAUUAGCCCGGCAGGAGUCAGUAAGCCACGCUUCCCCUCACAUCAAGAAAGGAGGGAUAUGGAGGAAGAAAGGCAGGUCAAAAAUGAGAGAGAAAAACAACACAGGAAGGAGGAAGAUAGGGAGGCUAGGAGAAAUGUUCAACGCGUAGAACUGUAUGGCCUAAAUGCAAUGUCACCUACUGAAUUAGAUUAUUAUGACGAAAUUAGCCACUGGUAGUGUCAAGUGUUAUUAUUUUUCAUUUACUUAUAGUGCUACAGUUAAAUGUUUUUUUGGAACACACUAUUUUGUCAAUUAUUUUUGGAUUUAUUUCCAUAUUGAAAUUUCUAUCUUUUUAUUAUAGAACUAUAAAUAAAUUGUUACUUAAAGAAUCUAUAGUUAUUACUUACUACUUUAUAAUUUAAGAGUUAAAUGUUAUGUCAGUAGGUUUUAAAGUACUUUAUAAUUUAAUUUUAGCAUUAUUUGUUCUUUGCAUUUUUGGUUUUGAUUAUGAUUAAGUAACUCUUUUAACUUAAGUCAAGACUUAAGUCAUCAUUAAAUAUAUAUCUACUUUCAUUCCUUAUUCACAUAGAUUUUUCAUUACAUAUUAAAAUAUUUUGCAAUAUUUUAAUUUAUUUAAGGAGAAAGGAAUGUAACAGGUCAGAUUUACGCUUAAAAUAUUUUCUUUAACUAUUCUUGUUUCAUUUGUUGUUGUCAUUCAUGGGCGCCGCCAUAUUGUCUUCUUCGCCGAAUGUGUUUUACUACGGAUCAAUUCAUUGGUUAAUAAUAAUGUUUAAAGUAUUUUCAUUGGUUUAUGUUAGAUCCAAUUAUUAAUUGUUUAUACCUGUCAUGUGACUAUGCGCGGGAAAUUUCAUUUAUAUACCCGUGCAUAGUAUUUUGUUAGUUAGAUAGGCUGUACCGGGCAACCGGUACGUCACCGAAGCCUAAGAGCUUCAUUUGUUUAAUUGAGAUCAUUCUCACAUAAUACUUGCUUAUAGCAAAACUCUAAAACUGAAACAUCAGAUUAAUUUCCCUUCUCUUCUUUAGAUUAAUAAUUAAAAUUCUACUUUUAUUCUUUAAGUUUCUUUGUUUAUUUAAAUUUAAAUAAAUUCUGAAUAAAUAUAGAUUUAUAUAGCCUAGAUUAAUUCUAUAAAUAAAAGUGUAGCACUAA